CAGCAGCCGCGGUAAGACAGAGGAUGCAAGCGUUAUCCAGAAUGAUUGGGUGUAAAGCGUCUGUAGGUGGCUUUUCAAGCCCGCCGUCAAAUCCUAGGGCUCAACCCUGGACAGGCAGUGGAAACUACCAAGCUGGAGUACGGUAGGGGUAGAGGGAAUUUCCGGUGGAGUGGUAAAAUGCGUUGAGAUCGGAAAGAACACCAAUGGCGAAAGCACUCUGCUGGGCCGACACUGACACUGAGAGACGAAAGCUAGGGGAGCAAAUGGGAUUAGAGACCCCGGUAGUCCCUGUCUCUUAUAC
rnacentral:rRNA from 1 species